rnacentral:rRNA from 1 species
CGUAGGAGGCGAGCGUUAUCCGGAUUCACUGGGCGUAAAGCGCGUGCAGGCGGUUUGGUAAGUUGGGCGUGAAAGCUCCCGGCUCAACUGGGAGAGGUCGUUCAAUACUACCAAACUAGAGAGUAGAAGAGGAAGAUGGAAUUCCCCGGUGUAGUGGUGAAAUGCGUAGAUAUCGGGAGGAACACCAGUGGCGAAGGCGAUCUUCUGGUCUAUUUCUGACGCUCAGACGCGACAGCUAGGGUAGUAAACGGGAUUAGAGACCCCGGUAAUCCUACCCGUAAACGAUGUGAACUUGGCGUCGGUGGCUUAAACACCAUCGGUGCCGAAGCAAACGCGAUAAGUUCACCGCCUGGGGACUACGGCCGCAAGGUUA